rnacentral:lncRNA from 10 species
GGAGAGAGCUGUUAUCUGUGAGUGAAGGCAGAUAUCUAUGUGCAUUAUCCAAUGUUCCUAGGACUGUGCAGUCAAAAUUCAUGUGAAAGCAUGUUCGAAGGAUUCAAAAGGCUCGGUGGCUGGACAGAGUCAGGAAGACUCUAAGGUACAGGUACUGAACGUGACAGAUUAAAACACCUGGCACCUGGAGGGGAGGACUGGGGAGGUUCUAACAUGAGUUGAAAAAGCUAAGCCCUAAAGGGUUUAAUUUAGGAGACCGGUGGCGAUGUUGUAGUUGAGCAGUGUAACUAGGAAGGCUUUGGUCCAACAGACCUUCGGACUGGAUAAAUGCUCCUGGGAUGAUUUAGCCUAGGCGAGGAAGCAGAAAGAUAGAGGUUCAAAGAUUUUACUUCCUGCUACUGUGGCAACGUGGGAUUUGAGAGUCACUGUCAUCCAGUGUCACGUGAAUAGGGCUGGAGUGCAGGCGCGAUCUGGGCUCACUGCAGCCUCCACCCCCUGGCUCAAGCCUCCCACCCCAGCCUCCCAAGUAGCUGGGAUUACAGGUGCGUGUCACCCAGCUAAUUUCUGUAUUUUCUUUUAGAGACAGGGUCUUGCUAUGUUGCUCAGGCUGGCCUGGAUCUCUGCAGUUCAAGCAAUCGGCCAGUCUCCGCCUCCCAAAGUGCUGGGAUUACAGGCAUGAGCCACCUUACCUGGCUAUUUUUUUGUAUUUUUUUGCAGAGAACUCCUGGGCUCAAGCAAUCCUCCUGCCUCGAUCAUUUGUUUUUAAAUGAGCCUGUAUUGCCUGUAAUUUUCAAGACGGUAUAGAGCUUACAGAAAAAGUAUGAAAAGUGCAAGUGUUUUUUUAGAUAGCAACUAUUGCUUAGCACUCAACAUAUUUCCUUUAUCCGUCUUCCCUUCCCCCUUCCUUUCCUCCUUCCUCCUCCCUCCCUUUCUUCCUUUUUUCAAAUUAACCUUUAGGCCAGUUGCUUAGGCCAGUUGCUGAUACUUGGCUGUGGUGUUUGCAUAGCUAGCUUGCCCUGAUGUAACUGUACAUGUAAUCAGCGUCUGCCACUUUGAUGGAAGUUUCCUAGUUUAGAAACACCUGUCUCUGGAUUAUAAUGAAACAACACAGAGGCUAAAUAAUAAAACCUCAGGGAAUCAAGACAUGUAAAGCCCAGAAUUUUAAAUAAAUAAGGUUUAUGGAACACUAAAAACAAAUAUAUUGGACUUUCCAUGGAGAAUACUUUAUCGUUGGUUAUACUGAAGAUAAAUGUUAACAACACAAAUAACAUGCAAAUACACACUCUUAGUAUCCAAACAUUGAUUUUAUUUGGCUUGCAGCAUUGAUGUUGUAAUGCUAGCAUUCACUGACAUUUAAUU